UUCACACCAAUAAUAAUUGGUCAUAUUUUUUUAAAAUCUCACAUCCCAAUUAAGACCUACGUAUGUUUGAUGGUGGAAGACAAUUGUUUCUAAUGCCUUGGUUAACUUAAGGUCCAAGCUUGAAAUCUUCCAUAGCGAAUUCAAUAGCUGAUGAAGGCAAUGCGUCAAACAAAUUUUAAAUUGCCUUGAAGAUGUAGCAAAAAUACAGAGAUGACUCCAAUGUCGUUUACACAAGAUCAGAACCCAGAGGUCUUGAUAUCAAUAUUGGUGAUUUUGUUUGGGAAUGGUUGAAAUGGAAGCCGCCAUUGAUGAAAGAAUCGACUUUGUAUUGUAAUGAAAGGAGCAAUUGGAGAAACAACUGACCUUGUUCACAUCGUUGACGGUACCACCACUCAAUUCAAACCCAAAAUUAGAAAAUAGAAGAAAAAAGAGAAAGAUCAAUAAAUUGAAGAUUGAGGUUUUUUCGUUUUGUAGAAAAGAUGGAAACUUUGAAUGCUAAAUCAAACCUAUUUGGUACCGUUUCUUCUAAUGCAUCAUCAUCAACAUCAUCUCUUCUUAAGGUGUUAAUAGUAAUGACAACAAUAAUAACAAUAAUAGUAAUGUUGGCACUACGAACGAGUAUGGUAUGAUCUUUCCUUCUAUGAUAACUUUGAGUUCUCUACUUUCCUUUUUGUUGGAGCAAUAUGGAACCCUAACCUGAACUCCAGUUUCUGAGGUUGUAACUAGGGUUGAUAAUGAUCUAAACUUGGUUCAUGAACCAAAUGAGCCAAACUUGAGCUGGAC
rnacentral:lncRNA from 1 species